rnacentral:rRNA from 1 species
AAUCAACGCUGGCGGCGUGCCUAACACAUGCAAGUCGAACGAGAAAGUGGGGGCAACUCCAUGAGUAAAGUGGCAGACGGGUGAGUAACACGUGAACAACCUACCCUCGAGUGUGGGAUAACACCGCGAAAGCGGUGCUAAUACCGCAUAACAUCUUCGGGUCGCAUGACUUGAUGAUCAAAAGCGCAAGUUGCUUGAGGAGGGGUUCGCGCCUGAUUAGCUAGUUGGUGAGGUAACGGCCCACCAAGGCAACGAUCAGUAGCCGGCCUGAGAGGGCGAACGGCCACACUGGAACUGAGACACGGUCCAGACUCCUACGGGAGGCUG